rnacentral:sRNA from 1 species
CCCCCACCCACCUCUAUCCCAGUGUCUCCGUCUGAGGGUUUGUCCUGUUAAUGCGGGAUGAGCGAUCAGAAGAAGGAGGAGGAGGAGGAGGCGGCAGCGGCAGCGGCGAUGGCUACAGAAGGAGGGAAAACCUCUGAGCCAGAGAAUAACAAUAAAAAACCCAAAACCUCAGGCUCCCAGGUAAAAGCAAACAAAUUAAAAAAAUUCAUCACGACACAUUAGGAGAGAGAGGGAGUUGUGCCCUUUGAAUGUCCAGAAGUAACAGAAUAAAAUGUUUAUCCACUCAAA